rnacentral:rRNA from 1 species
UUAAGUGACUAAGCGUACACGGUGGAUGCCUUGGCAGUCAGAGGCGAUGAAAGACGUAGUAACUUGCGAUAAGCCCAGAUUAGGUAGUAACAACCAUUUGAGUCUGGGAUUUCUGAAUGGGGAAACCCACGUGCAUAAGCACGUAUCCUUACCUGAAUACAUAGGGUAAGGAGGCGAACCGGGGGAACUGAAACAUCUAAGUACCCCGAGGAAAAGAAAUCAACCGAGAUUCCGAAAGUAGCGGCGAGCGAAAUUGGACUAGCCCUUAAGCUUUACACGCGUUAGACGAACGGUCUGGAAAGUCCGACGAUACAGGGUGAUAGUCCCGUAGUUGACGACGUGUGUUCAGUGAAAUCGAGUAGGGCGGGACACGUGAUAUCCUGUCUGAAUAUGGGGGGACCAUCCUCCAAGGCUAAAUACUACUGACUGACCGAUAGUGAACCAGUACCGUGAGGGAAAGGCGAAAAGAACCCCUGUGAGGGGAGUGAAAUAGAACCUGAAACCGUGUACGUACAAGCAGUAGGAGCAGGCUUUGUCCUGUGACUGCGUACCUUUUGUAUAAUGGGUCAGCGACUUAUAUUCAGUGGCAAGGUUAACCAUCUAGGGGAGCCGUAGGGAAACCGAGUCUUAACUGGGCGUUCAGUCUCUGGAUAUAGACCCGAAACCAGGUGAUCUAGCCAUGGGCAGGUUGAAGGUUGAGUAACAUCAACUGGAGGACCGAACCGACUAAUGUUGAAAAAUUAGCGGAUGACUUGUGGCUAGGGGUGAAAGGCCAAUCAAACCUGGAGAUAGCUGGUUCUCCCCGAAAGCUAUUUAGGUAGCGCCUCGGACGAAUACUACUGGGGGUAGAGCACUGUUAAGGCUAGGGGGUCAUCCCGACUUACCAACCCUUUGCAAACUCCGAAUACCAGUAAGUACUAUCCGGGAGACACACGGCGGGUGCUAACGUCCGUCGUGGAGAGGGAAACAACCCAGACCGCCAGCUAAGGUCCCAAAUUACUACUAAGUGGGAAACGAUGUGGGAAGGCUCAGACAGCCAGGAUGUUGGCUUAGAAGCAGCCAUCAUUUAAAGAAAGCGUAAUAGCUCACUGGUCGAGUCGGCCUGCGCGGAAGAUGUAACGGGGCUAAGUAGUAAACCGAAGCUGCGGCAAUAUACUUUUGUAUAUUGGGUAGGGGAGCGUUCUGUAAGCGGUUGAAGGUGUGUGGUAACGCAUGCUGGACGUAUCAGAAGUGCGAAUGCUGACAUGAGUAACGAUAAAGGGGGUGAAAAACCUCCUCGCCGGAAGACCAAGGGUUCCUGUCCAACGUUAAUCGGGGCAGGGUAAGUCGACCCCUAAGGCGAGGCCGAAAGGCGUAGUCGAUGGGAAACGGGUUAAUAUUCCCGUACUUCUUACAAUUGCGAUGGGGGGACGGAGAAGGCUAGGUGGGCCUGGCGACGGUUGUCCAGGUUCAAGUGCGUAGGCUUAAGAGUUAGGUAAAUCCGGCUCUUUUUAAGGCUGAGACACGACGUCGAGCAUCUACGGAUGUGAAGUCAUUGAUGCCAUGCUUCCAGGAAAAGCCUCUAAGCUUCAGAUUGUAAGGAAUCGUACCCCAAACCGACACAGGUGGUCGGGUAGAGAAUACCAAGGCGCUUGAGAGAACUCGGGUGAAGGAACUAGGCAAAAUGGUACCGUAACUUCGGGAGAAGGUACGCUCUUGAUGGUGAAGUCCCUCGCGGAUGGAGCUGACGAGAGUCGCAGAUACCAGGUGGCUGCAACUGUUUAUUAAAAACACAGCACUGUGCAAAAUCGUAAGAUGACGUAUACGGUGUGACGCCUGCCCGGUGCCGGAAGGUUAAUUGAUGGGGUUAGACUUCGGUCGAAGCUCUUGAUCGAAGCCCCGGUAAACGGCGGCCGUAACUAUAACGGUCCUAAGGUAGCGAAAUUCCUUGUCGGGUAAGUUCCGACCUGCACGAAUGGCGUAAUGAUGGCCACGCUGUCUCCACCCGAGACUCAGUGAAAUUGAAAUCGCUGUGAAGAUGCAGUGUACCCGCGGCUAGACGGAAAGACCCCGUGAACCUUUACUACAGCUUGGCACUGAACAUUGACCCUACAUGUGUAGGAUAGGUGGGAGGCUUUGAAGCACGUACGCCAGUAUGUGUGGAGCCGUCCUUGAAAUACCACCCUUGUAGUGUUGAUGUUCUAACGUCGACCCCUUAUCGGGGUUGCGGACAGUGCCUGGUGGGUAGUUUGACUGGGGCGGUCUCCUCCCAAAGAGUAACGGAGGAGCACGAAGGUGGGCUAAUCACGGUUGGACAUCGUGAGGUUAGUGCAAUGGCAUAAGCCCGCUUGACUGCGAGAAUGACAAUUCGAGCAGGUGCGAAAGCAGGUCAUAGUGAUCCGGUGGUUCUGAAUGGAAGGGCCAUCGCUCAACGGAUAAAAGGUACUCCGGGGAUAACAGGCUGAUACCGCCCAAGAGUUCAUAUCGACGGCGGUGUUUGGCACCUCGAUGUCGGCUCAUCACAUCCUGGGGCUGAAGUCGGUCCCAAGGGUAUGGCUGUUCGCCAUUUAAAGUGGUACGCGAGCUGGGUUUAGAACGUCGUGAGACAGUUCGGUCCCUAUCUGCCGUGGGCGUUGGAAGAUUGAAGGGGGCUGCUCCUAGUACGAGAGGACCGGAGUGGACGAACCUCUGGUGUUCGGGUUGUGUCGCCAGACGCAUUGCCCGGUAGCUAAGUUCGGAAUCGAUAACCGCUGAAAGCAUCUAAGCGGGAAGCGAGCCCUGAGAUGAGUCUUCCCUGAUACUUUAAGUAUCCUAAAGGGUUGUCGGAGACUACGACGUUGAUAGGUCAGGUGUGUAAGUGCUGUGAGGCAUUGAGCUAACUGAUACUAAUUGCCCGUGAGGCUUAACCAU